rnacentral:rRNA from 1 species
AGUGAACGCUGGCGGCGUGCCUAAUACAUGCAAGUCGAACGGAGUGGCGCACGGGUGAGUAAUAUAUAGCUAAUCUGCCCCUUUCUGGAGGACCACCGUUCGAACUGACUGCUAAUACCCCAAAGCAAGGGUUGAGACUGUAUCGUAUCAGCUAGUCGGGGGGGUAAAGGCCGACCGAGGCUAUGACGCGUAACUGGUCUGAGUGGAUGAUACGUCACAGUGGAACUGUGACACGGUCGAAACUCCUACGGGAGGCAGCAGAAGGGAAUAGUGCGCAAUGGGGGAAACCCUAACGCAGCAACGCCGCGUGGAGGAUGACACUUUUCGGAGCGUAAAUUGCUGCUGAUAGGGAAGCGUUACCUAACGAAUAAGCACCGGCUAACUCCGUGCCAGCAGCCGCGGUAAUUC